UGGCAACUCUGCCAAGGCGCCUAUGAGAGCCUCUUGGCUUUUACCUGGUCUGCGAGAAAUCAAACUUUGGACACAAGUCAUGAAGCCGACAAGCCCGGGAGACACAGUGUCAGAAUUACAAGGUGAGAUCAGCCGCCCGGCCAAGCUAUCUUCUCGCUAGCAGAUGAAGCUGCUUUGGUGGAAGGUGCUAAAAAGCUGGGCUUUGUACAGUGAGAACACCAUAUUCAGUCAUCAUAGAAGCAAUAGAGCUUUGGAGCCAAACCCUUCUGAUGAUCCAAGGGCAAGCACAAUCUUCUUGCAAAAAUCUCAAACAUAUGGUAUCUACUAAGCAUUUUACUAAAAAGUACAGCUCGUGUUCAACCAUAUACCUAGAUGACAGCACAGCCAGCCAGCCUCAUCUUACAAUCAUAGUAAAAUCGAAUGAGCUUGAAAGACAGUUUUUGCAGCUAACUGACUAUAACGUCGAAGUUUCUGGAAGUGUUUAUGCCAAGUACUAUUUUGAUCUUCGAUCCUUGGCAAAGGACAAUAGCUUGCAUUUGCCAGUUUAUCUUCUCAACAAAGAAAGGGCACAGAACCUGGAAGCUAUUUCAAGGAUGGAAGACGCCAAAAUCUUUUAUAGUGCUACCAUGAGAAGGUCCUUCAGCGCUGAUAAUUUCAUUAAUCUUCAGCGCUCUAAAGCCAUUAUCUCUUGAAGGAAGAAAUGAGGGGCUAUAUCAUGUGAACCCCUCAUCAAAAAAGACCGGAAAAUAUUACCUCUCCUGCUCAACAACUAGAAAAGUUAGUAUUUUCAAAAGAAGAAAGAUCUCAAAGUUGAGAGGCUUGUGGACAACUAGGAUUGCACUCCACAGGAAAAAAAUGGGAUCUUUGCAGUGCAACAACUCUCGUACACUCUUCUGUCUUUUUAAACGUAAACAGGUAUAAAAACUACUCCAAA
rnacentral:sRNA from 1 species